rnacentral:lncRNA from 1 species
AUUCAGAAGGCCUCUCAAAAGUUGUUUGCUUCCAAGACCACAGGCAGAUUCUUCACCACGGAGCCACCUAGGAAGCCCUUCAAGCACUUUCUUUUAAAACCGUAACUUUCGGCCGAGGAAACAUAAAAAUCUCCCGUGUGCAUUUAUCAACUAAUGAGACAAUAUUUUUCAGCUAAUUCUUUCUGCAGUGCUGGAAUGGAGAGGUGGGGUCGUGUGGCCUUUCUCACUAUGCUGGGUACAGGGCCUGUGAGUACCACAGUUAUGAUUAUUUCUCCUUAUUAUUAAUAGAAGUGCUUGAAAUCAACUCCUUCCAGUGGAAAAUUUAAUUGUCUGAAUCAAGGCCAUCCUCUACAGGCCAUCUGUCUUCAUGGCUGUGAUUAAACUCUG